rnacentral:rRNA from 1 species
GUCUACAGCCAUGCUUCCCUGAACAAGCCCGAUCCUGUCUAAUCUUGAAAGCUAAGCAGGGUCAGGCCUGGUUAGUACUUGGACAGGAGACCACCUAGGAAGACCAGGUGAGGUAGGUA